rnacentral:rRNA from 1 species
UACGUAGGGUGCGAGCGUUGUCCGGAAUUAUUGGGCGUAAAGAGCUCGUAGGCGGUUUGUCACGUCUGCUGUGAAAUCCUGAGGCUCAACCUCGGGCCUGCAGUGGGUACGGGCAGACUGGAGUGCGGUAGGGGAGAAUGGAAUUCCUGGUGUAGCGGUGGAAUGCGCAGAUAUCAGGAGGAACACCGAUGGCGAAGGCAGUUCUCUGGGCCGUAACUGACGCUGAGGAGCGAAAGCGUGGGGAGCGAACAGG